GGCAGGAGUAGAAGCGUUCAGCGGGUCGCCCCACGCACCCGCCCGGAAAUUGCUCUGUAG
rfam:Hydrogenophaga sp. PBC, complete genome.